UACGAAGGGGGCUAGCGUUGUUCGGAUUUACUGGGCGUAAAGCGCACGUAGGCGGGUCUUUAAGUCAGGGGUGAAAUCCUGGAGCUCAACUCCAGAACUGCCUUUGAUACUGAAGAUCUUGAGUUCGGGAGAGGUGAGUGGAACUGCGAGUGUAGAGGUGAAAUUCGUAGAUAUUCGCAAGAACACCAGUGGCGAAGGCGGCUCACUGGCCCGAUACUGACGCUGAGGCACGAAAGCGUGGGGAGCAAACAGGG
rnacentral:rRNA from 1 species